rnacentral:rRNA from 1 species
ACGGGUGAGUAACACGUGGGCAAUCUGCCCUUCACUCUGGGACAAGCCCUGGAAACGGGGUCUAAUACCGGAUAACACUCUGUCCCGCAUGGGACGGGGUUAAAAGCUCCGGCGGUGAAGGAUGAGCCCGCGGCCUAUCAGCUUGUUGGUGGGGUAAUGGCCUACCAAGGCGACGACGGGUAGCCGGCCUGAGAGGGCGACCGGCCACACUGGGACUGAGACACGGCCCAGACUCCUACGGGAGGCAGCAGUGGGGAAUAUUGCACAAUGGGCGAAAGCCUGAUGCAGCGACGCCGCGUGAGGGAUGACGGCCUUCGGGUUGUAAACCUCUUUCAGCAGGGAAGAAGCGAAAGUGACGGUACCUGCAGAAGAAGCGCCGGCUAACUACGUGCCAGCAGCCGCGGUAAUACGUAGGGCGCAAGCGUUGUCCGGAAUUAUUGGGCGUAAAGAGCUCGUAGGCGGCUUGUCACGUCGGAUGUGAAAGCCCGGG